rnacentral:lncRNA from 1 species
UUUUAGUUCAGUGUUAGUUCAGUGUUAGUUCAGUGUUAGUUCAGUGUUAGUUCAGUGUUAGUUCAGUGUUAGUUCAGUGUUAGUUCAGUGUUUUAGUUCAGUGUUAGUUCAGUGUUAGUUUAGUGUUUUAGUUCAGUGUUAGUUCAGUGUUAGUUCAGUGUUAGUUCAGUGUUAGUUCAGUGUGUUAGUUCAGUGUUAGUUCAGUGUUAGUUCAGUGUUAGUUCAGUGUGUUAGUUCAGUGUUAGUUCAGUGUUAGUUCAGUGUUAGUUCAGUGUUAGUUCAGUGUUAGUUCAGUGUUAGUUCAGUGUGUUAGUUCAGUGUUAGUUCAGUGUUAGUUCAGUGUUAGUUCAGUGUUAGUUCAGUGUUAGUUCAGUGUUUCUUCAGUGUUUCUUCAGUGUUUCUUCAGUGUUAGUUCAGUGUUAGUUCAGUGUUAGUUCAGUGUUAGUUCAGUGUUUUAGUUCAGUGUUAGUUCAGUGUUAGUUCAGUGUUAGUUCAGUGUUAGUUCAGUGUUAGUUCAGUGUGUUAGUUCAGUGUUAGUUCAGUGUUAGUUCAGUGUUUUAGUUCAGUGUUAGUUCAGUGUUAGUUCAGUGUUAGUUCAGUGUUUCUUCAGUGUUUCUUCAGUGUUAGUUCAGUGUUGGUUCAGUGUUAGUUCAGUGUUAGUUCAGUGUUUCUUCAGUGUUAGUUCAGUGUUAGUUCAGUGUUAGUUCAGUGUGUUAGUUCAGUGUGUUAGUUCAGUGUUAGUUCAGUGUUAGUUCAGUGUUAGUUCAGUGUUAGUUCAGUGUUAGUUCAGUGUUAGUUCAGUGUUAGUUCAGUGUGUUAGUUCAGUGUGUUAGUUCAGUGUGUUAGUUCAGUGUUAGUUCAGUGUUAGUUCAGUGUGUUAGUUCAGUGUUAGUUCAGUGUUAGUUCAGUGUUAGUUCAGUGUUAGUUCAGUGUUAGUUCAGUGUGUUAGUUCAGUGUUAGUUCAGUGUUAGUUCAGUGUUAGUUCAGUGUUAGUUCAGUGUGUUAGUUCAGUGUUAGUUCAGUGUUAGUUCAGUGUUAGUUCAGUGUUAGUUCAGUGUUAGUUCAGUGUUAGUUCAGUGUUUUAGUUCAGUGUUAGUUCAGUGUUAGUUCAGUGUGUUAGUUCAGUGUUUCUUCAGUGUUAGUUCAGUGUUAGUUCAGUGUUAGUUCAGUGUUAGUUCAGUGUGUUAGUUCAGUGUUAGUUCAGUGUUAGUUCAGUGUUAGUUCAGUGUUAGUUCAGUGUUAGUUCAGUGUUUUAGUUCAGUGUUAGUUCAGUGUUAGUUCAGUGUUAGUUCAGUGUUAGUUCAGUGUUAGUUCAGUGUUUCUUCAGUGUUUCUUCAGUGUUAGUUCAGUGUUAGUUCAGUGUUAGUUCAGUGUUUUAGUUCAGUGUUAG